rnacentral:sRNA from 1 species
GCAAGGGGAACAGCGUGUGUGAGGGUUCCGCCAUGUCUCAGCCCUUUCCUGGCCCCUGCACUUAGCCUUCGGUGCCUAUCUUCAGGGUCAGGGGAAGCCCAGGCCAAAGCGGGCCGGGAAGGGGCCCUGUGGAUAAGGCCGAGAGCCUGUCCCAAAAUAGGGCCGGCAGGAUUUCCCACCCAUAAAAGGCUCUUGGAAUCUGGACCCCAGGGACCCCAGGCAACCAGGCCCAGCUAAAACUCAGCUGCCACCACUGCCCCGGCACUCUGCCCACAGCAGCCCUGGUGCCACCACCCUGCAGAAUCCUGUCAGACAACCACCGACAUGACAAAGGGUUCUUCAACUGCGAUGGUUUCCUGGCACUAAUGGGAGUUUACCAUGAGAAGGCCCAGAACCAGGAGAGCGAGCUGAGGGCGGCAUUCCGUGUCUUCGACAAAGAGGGCAAGGGCUACAUUGACUGGAACACACUCAAGUAGGGCCCGGGUGAGGGGCGGGUGGUGGGCGGGCACGGGCAGGGCCGAUGGAGUGGCUCAGCGCCAGGCCCCGUAGGUACGUGCUAAUGAACGCAGGGGAGCCCCUCAACGAGGUGGAGGCGGAGCAGAUGAUGAAGGAGGCCGACAAGGAUGGGGACGGGACCAUCGACUAUG